GGCUGAGCUCAGGGUCUGGGACACAAAGCUGGGCUCAGGGACACACAGACAAGUUUCAGUAUCAAGGUAGGAGAUUGGGGUACAUGUGGAUAAUCGGAAGCAAGGUGGUCUUAGGUGGUGCAUGGAGACGGUGUAUACAGCCAAGGACAGUGAAAAGAGGUGCAAGCCAGGCAGUGGGCACAGGACCACCAUGGUCAGAGUAGACAGUAUCUGGAGUGCAGACACCCAGUCUGCCCGAGAAGGUACAAUCCAGGAGCAAUUCCAGCCAUCUGGACCGUGGCUGAGUAACUAGAAAUAAGAAGGAGAAAAAAAUGCCUCAGAGGAGCCAAAACCAACACCACAGUCCCUCAUGAAAGAGCUGCUCCUGGGGCCCCCUCAGAGCCGGCGCUCAGCUGUAUGACCGUCAUGUUCCAUUGCGUCGUGGGAGCCGAGAAUCAGCAAAAGGAUCCAUACGCAGGGCAGUGUGGGCAGCGCUCAGUCUGACGGCCACAGAGGAACAAAAGCAAGAAAAAGAACAGGGCAUCUGGGGCCAUGGACCAGACACACCAGUUAACAUGGCUGUGAAAUCCAGCAGAGACCACCAAGGAGCCCACUAAGGCGCUGGUCAGAGCCAUGGGGCUUUGCUGGGGAAGAGCAGUCAGUCCACAGGAGUCAGUGACGCUGAGCACGAGGGAAGCUGAGGAGCUGGAGGCGAUUUCAAGACAUUUGGCUGGGGGCUCCGGCCCAGAGAUGACUUUCUCACCAAGAUCACCACUACGGGCAGAAAGGCAAGUGCGGGGGAGCGAGGGAUUGGCGCCUGCUGCAUGUGUCCUGUUGGCAUGUGGGGAGAACCGUCUGCAGUGCAGAAGGGACCAGACGCAAAGUCCAGCCUGAACACACAUGCUGACGUGGGAGGUGUAAAUCUGGGCAAAUUACAGAGCCCCUGAGACAUGUGGAACUGAGCAGCGCACCUGUCUGUCCGCCGAUGAGGAGACCAGACCUGUUAAAUCAAGAAGUUAAAUUACUGCCACCUGACCAGAAACAGCGUUGAAAUGGAGACCCAAGUCCCUUUCAUGCCAGGGGCUCCUGUUCUUAAUACUGCUACCAAACUGAGGAAAGUCCCACCAGACCCAGCCAUCUGCAUCUGGCCUCCAGAGCAUCUAUGAUACAGUCCCUGGGCUCACGGAAGCACUCAGCAAACACCUACAGACUGACUGGAGGGCAGCUCUAAACAACAGCUCCUGUGGGUCCGAAUGAAUGACUCACUAUUUAUUGAACACCAACUGACAAAUUCCAUUGGAUAAAGUUGUCUAGGAUCUCACACAGAACACAGAAAAAAUGCGGACUGCAGCUUCAGGAAUGACCUAAUGAAGCAGAAAAUGGGCCAAACACAAGACUUAGAAACAGUGUUGGAAGAAGGCCCUGCAGCAGACAGAACCCUAGCCCUGGAGUCCAAGGGCCUGCAUGCUGGUCUCUCCCACCACAGUGUGAUGUCAGCCAUCAUUUUUACCUCUCUGAUCCUGUUUUCUCACAUGGAAAGGUACUGAUUAAACUGGUCCUGAGUGCCAAAUCAAAAAAUCCAUGUAAAUCCCUUCAAAUUGUAGAAUGGGUUGAAAUGUCCAAGUAUGGGACCUGGCUGGGCUGGUCAGGGAAGUGAGUCCAGAAAAGGUCUGGAAAUAUUCUUCAUCCAGGGCAGUAAUUCUCAGACCUCUGUGGCAGGUACUUGGAGAUAAUAGGAUUUUUGAGUUACUGAAAUGUCUCCUUUACAGAAUUAUAUAAAAUACACUGUUUUUUAAAAAUUGUAAUUAAAAAUUGCUGAUUAAAAAACAUAUCAUAAAGUGCUAGAAAAUUCUGAAAGAUAAGGAAUUUCUAAAUUGAGGCAUUUUACAUACACUCUAAAAUUCAGGAGCUCAUAUAGGUGGACAUGGUGAGAGGUAACUUUCUGUUGUCAUGGAGAGGC